rnacentral:rRNA from 1 species
CGCGUAGGCGGACUUGUAAGUCAGGAGUGAAAACUCAGGGCUCAACCCUGAGCCUGCUUCUGAAACUGCAAGUCUUGAGGACCGGAGAGGAAAGUGGAAUUCCUAGUGUAGCGGUGGAAUGCGUAGAUAUUAGGAAGAACACCAGUGGCGAAGGCGACUUUCUGGACGGUACCUGACGCUGAGGCGCGAAAGCUAGAAGAGCAAACAGGAUUAGAUACCCUGGUAGUCC